CAGAGUGAUAAAGAGAUGUCAGCAAAUGGUAGAAAACGAUAACACAAAAAUCUAGCUUGUACUAUUAAUUCUUACGAAUAACUAUGACAUCUACAGAUACUAUAAUACUGCCUACGACAAAUGAUAAUUUUGGCGGUCGUAACAACAUCAUCUCAGUAAAGAAAUCAGAUUUCGAAAAGAUGGAAGCGUUAGACAACGAUGACUGACAAUCUGGCUCAGAGGAUGACGACGAAUUCUUUGAGAAGAAUUUUCUUGACGAAGACUACGGUAUUCGAGAUGAUGUUCGUAAAUUAUUAAAAAGAUUACCUUGGAUUUGUGGUGGAUAUGGUGUAAGAUGGGAACCCCGUCUAUCUUUGUAUGUGACUGUGGCAACUGAAAGACAAGAUGAUGAAGAUGCAUUAAGAAAGGAAAUUGAUGAAAAAUUUGGAUGGAAAGCUUCUCCUUACUUUAAAUUUGAAACCAGAACCAAAAGAAAAAUCACAGUUUCGAUUUUUGUCAGACCUUAAAGUAGUAAAAAGAGAAAACGGUCCUAAUCCAAUGCGUAAAAAGAAGGACAAAAAAAAGAUUCAUGAAACAAUGGCAAAAGGUUCUGUCACAAUGUUUUGUGACACAGACAAGAAACACUACGCUUUGACCCCUUUUCACAAUUCAUGCAUCACUGACCGACAAGCCGCUGGUAACGAAUUCAAUUUUUCCCACAUCUGGGAAGAUAUAAAACAAUUAUGCGAGAGAAUUUCUAGAAGAGAAAUCCAAGAUGAAAAUAGAUGUUAUUACGUUCCUCUUAUGGGUAAAGAAAUAAAACUUGGAGCUCCUUGUUUUCGAUCAUUUAAUGAAAACACUGACAUCAUGGCCAUUGAAGUGAUUGAUCGUAAAAAGAUUACUCGCAACCCUUUCGUAAUCACGGAGACUGAUUGGAAAACAGUUAAAAAUCAACUAAAGAAAGGAAAUGCUAAGGUUCAGAAACGUGUUGGAGGCGCUGUAGGAAAAAUUUUAGACAUUAGCUAAAAUUUUUCACACAUAUGCAAAGAAACCGGACGUGACAUCUUCAGCAAAGUUAUCACCAUUGAAUGCGAACGUCCUUUUCUUAAAGAUGGAGAUUCUGGAGUGUUAAUAGAUUUCUACAAUGAGGACACAGAAGAACACAUACCUCUGGGUUACGGAGUCUGCGAACAUAAAAAAAAUGAUGGAAAAAUUGUCUAUGUAGCCUUUAGAUUAGACGUCGCAUUGAAAAAUCUAAACUUAAAAAACUGUCGUUGGUACUUGCAGGCAUAAAGAGUGAUCUUGGUCUUAUUUAAUGAAGUUUGGGGUGAGAAAAGUUUAUACUGAUGUUUUAUUCAAAUGCGAAAGUACUUUUUCGUAUUCAUAUACAUCGAUUUAGGUUUAUUGUGUUUAUCAAUUACUUAUUUUACUUUAUUUUUAUCAUCAUUUUGGUGUCAUUGGUGAUAUGUUCAUUUUCACUGUCACUUGUAUUCACUAUUUACACAUUUGCUGCACAAUUCUUGUCAUUAUAAUUUUUAUUUUUCUUCCAAAAUCCAUACUUUUCUCUGUAAGUUUAUGAUUGGAGUUGAAAUUACGAAAUUUACCAGACUUUGACAAAUAUAUUUACCACCUCAACACUAUAUCUUCAAUAUGUAAGUAUUUUCUGCAUGGCUAUUGUUGUAGUUAAGCAAAUCAUUUUUAAACAAAUAAUCAUUAUGUACUCGCCAGUAAAAUAA